GCUUCCCCUGCUUGGAGCAGAUCAGUGUUCCUGCUGCCCUGGUCUGUGACCUGUGCCCCAGGGACAGGCAGUAAGGUUUGCCUGUGCCGAAAGGUGUGUUUGGGUUGGGGGUCCGUGGGGCAAGUGCAUCUGCACCUUCCCCAAACUCCACAAUGGCAAGGCUCGUCGGAGGGCUUCGGCUUUUCGUGGUGGUUUUCGUGUGUGCAUCUGUGAUCAUGUGCAUCUUCCACAUCUUCGUGGUGUGCGUUUGGGUCCUCCUGGGCUUCUGACCCGCGCCAUGUGUGCGCGGGACUCCAGCCCUAAGUGUCUUACUGUGUCUGUGAGCGUUUUUGUAUUCUGAGUGCGUGCAAGGGCUUUCGCCCGCCUGGCUUGGUUCCUGAGACUUGCGCUAAGCGGGCCUGUGUGAGCGCCGCCGCCUCCGCCUCCAGCCGCGUGCUGUCCUGUGUGCGGACCGCGUGCCCAUCGUGCGCAGAAGCCCAGCGCAGCCCCCGGAGCAGCCCCUGCACCGCCUCCGCUCCCCGGACCGCGACCCAGGCCGCCCCGAGAUGAUCGCGACCGGAGCCCUCCUGCGCGUCCUCUUGCUCCUGCUGGCUUUCGGCCACAGCACCUAUGGGGCUGAAUGCGACCCACCCUGUGACCCCCAGUAUGGAUUCUGCGAGGCUGACAAUGUCUGCAGGUGCCAUGUUGGCUGGGAGGGUCCCCUCUGUGACAAGUGUGUAACUGCCCCUGGCUGUGUCAAUGGAGUCUGCAAGGAACCAUGGCAGUGCAUCUGCAAGGAUGGCUGGGACGGGAAAUUCUGCGAAAUAGACGUUCGGGCUUGCACCUCAACCCCCUGCGCCAACAAUGGAACUUGCGUGGACCUGGAGAAAGGCCAGUACGAAUGCUCCUGCACACCUGGGUUCUCUGGAAAGGACUGCCAGCACAAGGCUGGGCCCUGCGUGAUCAAUGGUUCUCCCUGCCAGCACGGAGGCGCCUGCGUGGAUGAUGAGGGCCAGGCCUCGCAUGCUUCCUGCCUGUGCCCCCCUGGCUUCUCAGGCAACUUCUGUGAGAUCGUAGCCGCAACCAACAGCUGUACCCCUAACCCAUGCGAGAACGAUGGCGUCUGCACCGACAUCGGGGGUGACUUCCGUUGCCGCUGCCCAGCUGGAUUCGUCGACAAGACCUGCAGCCGCCCGGUGAGCAACUGCGCCAGUGGCCCGUGCCAGAACGGGGGCACCUGCCUCCAGCACACCCAGGUGAGCUUCGAGUGUCUGUGCAAGCCCCCGUUCAUGGGUCCCACGUGCGCGAAGAAGCGCGGGGCUAGCCCCGUGCAGGUCACCCACCUGCCCAGCGGCUAUGGGCUCACCUACCGCCUGACCCCCGGGGUGCACGAGCUGCCUGUUCAGCAGCCCGAGCAACACAUCCUGAAGGUGUCCAUGAAAGAGCUCAACAAGAGUACCCCUCUCCUCACCGAGGGACAGGCCAUCUGCUUCACCAUCCUGGGCGUGCUCACCAGCCUGGUGGUGCUGGGCACCGUGGCCAUCGUCUUUCUCAACAAGUGCGAAACCUGGGUGUCCAACCUGCGCUACAACCACAUGCUUCGCAAGAAGAAGAACCUCCUGUUGCAGUAUAACAGCGGCGAGGAGCUGGCGGUCAAUAUCAUCUUCCCCGAGAAGAUUGACAUGACCACUUUCAACAAGGAGGCUGGUGAUGAGGAGAUCUAAGCAGCGUUCCCCACCCCCACUCCCAGGCCCUUCACCCCACCCCACCCCAGGCCCUUCUCUAUUACCGGGGUUCCUUAGAGCUCUCUACGCAGUCUGCGCUUUUUGUGGUGGAGUUUGCUCUAUUGUGUGGAAUCGAGUGAACGCUAUGCUUACAUAUAUUGUCUUGUGUUGCUGUGUGCCAUGCUACCACGCUAUCUAAGAACCCCUUCCUCCCUAUUAAUGCAUGAUAAUGAAUAAUAAUAAUAAGAAUUUCAUCUCUAAAUGAGUUAAAGAAAUAAGUAUGUUAUUCUAAACUCUUAUCAAGUAUCAAAUAUAAAAUAUCAAAAAGACCAAAAAAAAACAUGGUAACAGAACCAGGACUUAGUGCUGAGGUCCCUCUCCUGGGGGGGGUGUCAGCCACCAGGUCCUCGUGAAACCAUAAGAGUGUUGUGCUUGACCACUCACUGUGAAAAGGGCUAAACUCUUUCGUUCGUUAAUUCUCACGCACACUCACAUCAAGUCUCACACCGCAACCCUUAGAUCUUUCCGAUUGAUUGUGACUCUGCAGUGUGUAGUGGCUGUGUGCCAGGCAGAGAGAGACCCCAGGUUGGCUGCUGGCAGAGAGGUCGGGACCUAGUCCUAACCCAGCUGCGCACUCGCUGUGUGACCCUUGGCGAGAUUCCCCCACCUCCAACCCUGGGCCACUUCCCCACCCCUCCCCAUAAGGGAGGGGUGCAGACACCCAAACACCAAAGUCCUCUCUAGCUCCCAAAUUCAGAAUUAGGAACGAUGGAUAUAUACCAAAACACUUCUUGACUCCAAGAGUAGGACCUGAUGGAGACUUGGUCUCAUCCUGGGAUCCGAAAGGUUUUGGCCUAUCCUGGCUGUACACUUGAUAUUGACGUCGAUCCCGAUAGCGUUUCUCAAAAUGGGGAGCCUCCUGGCUCAUGUCCAGUUUGGGAAAAAUUGGCCCCUUUAGGUCAAAAAUGUGCCAUUUGGUGUUGCCUCUUGAGCAACCCAUUCCCUACCCUAGCCCAAGACUCCACCUCAUGCCCCUCAAACCCCACCCCAUAUCUGCCCCUCACCCUGAUGUAGAGUAGAGAUGUGCUUUCAGACUUCAGUGUACCUCGAACCACAAGUGCCCCCCCCCCGGGCAGAAUCUGAGUGAGCAAUGCAGCCCCCACCAAGGUUUGCACAGGCUUUAGUGACACUAUGGCUUGUGGGGUGUUUUCUUGUUCUGUAGCAAAAGCGGGAAAGCAGCUGUCCACAGCCAUGGAUGUACCUUUGUGUGGCUGAAGUUAGGACCCUCAGAUCCCCAAACACCUAGCCAGCUUCUUAAGUAGAAUUUUGACUUAUUUUUUAAAAGAGCAUCUAUCUUUUUUUUGCAAAACAAAACAAAAAAACAAAACAAAAAAAAAGUAGAAAGAAAUGGGAGAGAGCCCUGUGUAGCUCCCUGACUCUUGUUUGGGGUCUGGGUGCUACACAGUCCUUGGGUCCCCGUUAGGAAUAUUUUGCUUCUUAGAUUAUUUGGGUAGGAACCUAUGCUCCUAAGCUUUAAGUGUGAGCCGUGUUUACCUUGCUCUGAGUACUUGCUUGCAAGUCAUUGUCACCGUUGCUGUUCGAAUCAUGAUCACAGCACACACUUCAUGGUCAUCAGCCAUUGGUCAUACGCGUCUCCGUUGUCACACAUUAUCGACCCAAUCACCCCUCCAACCUCUACCCCAGGUUCAUUUCACCCAAAGCCCUGACUCAAAGAAUCUCUCCCCAGCCAUUGGUCAUUCAUUACCUUCAGCCCAAGCCCCUUCCAGUCCCACCCUGAAACCCCUCCCCCAUUUGGCCCCAGCCUCAUCCUGAUGAGGGUGUGUCCCAGCUCCCCAAAUCUCCACCACCUCCCAUGUCCCUGCCUCCUAGCCCCUCUUCCCCUGGUUCCCUCCCUCCCUCCCUCCAGGCCCCUCCCCUGCCUCAAUCAGUCCCGCCCUGAGGCAAACCAGCCCCAUCACAAUCACCUCAUUAUCCCAUCUCAUUUUGAGUUCAUUUUAAGAAAUAAAAUCGAAAAAAAUUUAAAAAAAAAGUAUUGACAUAUGCCAGGAGGGUUUCUGAUACCCUUCCUGGCCUCUCAGCGUGAGACCUUGACCGAGUCUGCGAAUAAUUCUGCUCCUCGGUUUCCCAAUUUGGAAUUCUACAAUUGGACAAAACAGCCUAUUUCUCCACGCCACUUUUUUUUUUUUUUGAUCUCCCUGUUGUGGAGAGCAGCCGUGUCUCUGUGUCUCUCCUGAUAAAGGGGGCCCGGCUGUUCUCUUAGCAACUCCUCCUCCAUCCAAAAGAUCCAUCAUCCACCAUCCAUCCAGCCAGGGAGUGUUUCCAAGCACCUGCAGAGUGUAAGGCAGUGAGUGUUCUUGGAGCUGUGGGAUGUGCAGGCCGAGGGGCAUAGUCUGGGAGGGGAGUAGACAUGCAUGUGCCCCCAGGAAGCCAAGCACAGGGCAGGCAAAAACCCAAAACUCCGUGGAAGCCGGAUGGUCCAGAGCAGGUGCCUCCCUCAGAGUGCCACCACCUCACCUUCCAACGUGACCAAAGAUCAAGAAACCAACAUCAAUGAGGCGGCCCCGUCAAAAUUCCACGGCAUCCACCCACACAACAGGAGCAGCGUUUGCAGUCUCACCCUGGUCUUCACGUCCGCAGAAAGGGUCCAUCUGCGACCUCACGAUAUCUGCUGAGAGCAUCAGAUCUCUGGCUGCCCAUACACAUCUCCUGUGUUUGGUGUAGUGCAGUGUACGCAACGGGUGGUGAAGCUAAAAGACAGCUGUCUGGGACAUUUUCAAACUAAUCUGACCCCAAAUUAAAAGUGGUGAUAAUUCUGUAACCAAAAUGUCAAUGAAAUGUCCACCAGGGCGCUCUUUCUAGCUUCCCCCAUAUUUUUUCUUUGGCAGGCAAGUCCAGACGCAAUGCAAAAAGAAACAACAACCUUGUUUAUUGUUAAAUAAAGGAACAAGGGCUUUA